rnacentral:rRNA from 1 species
UACGUAGGGUGCAAGCGUUAAUCGGAAUUACUGGGCGUAAAGCGUGCGCAGGCGGCUUUGCAAGUCAGAUGUGAAAUCCCCGGGCUUAACCUGGGAACUGCAUUUGUGACUGCAUGGCUGGAGUGCGGCAGAGGGGGAUGGAAUUCCGCGUGUAGCAGUGAAAUGCGUAGAUAUGCGGAGGAACACCGAUGGCGAAGGCAAUCCCCUGGGCCGGCACUGACGCUCAUGCACGAAAGCGUGGGGAGCAAACAGG